UGUUAAACAAUUCAGCCAAACAUACCCACUACAAUUCUCUCUCUCACUGGAAAGUGUCUUGGAGCUGGACCAAGCUCCUUUAACUUCACUGUUCUACUUUAAUAGUAUUUUGCUUUGAUCAGCUCCAGUAAAACUUUGAUCUUUGCGUGUACGUGUGUGGGGAUACUUAUAGUUACCUUCGGUCAGUAAUGAAAAAAAGCUGCUCUUCCAUUAUAGAAUUAUGCCAGUCUUCUCUUUAUUAGUCUCUAAUAAAGGGAUCACCUGGGGUGUUUUUUGGUUACCUAAUCCCUUGGCUCUCUACUUUGGUGGUGCACCAUUGGUGGGGUCUUCUUUUGUACUCUUAAACAGAGUAGCAUAGCUUGUUCCUUUAUGUUAUACACCCAAUUUUUGCUUCAGGGGGUAGUUUCAGUUUUCACUGCUUUGUUUCUGUUAUAUUUUUCUUGCUUUGAUGAUUGGCUGAGGCCUGAGAGAGAUGAAACUUCUUGGAGAUUGAGUUCCAGUUUUUUAUUUUAUUUGUUAUUUGGAAGUU